rnacentral:tRNA from 1 species
GGGGAUUUGGCUCAGCGGUAGAGCGCUUGCCUAGCAAGUGCAAGGUCCUGGGUUCGGUCCCCAGCUCCG